GACGAACGCUGGCGGCGUGCUUAACACAUGCAAGUCGAACGAAGAGCGAUGGAAGCUUGCUUCUAUCAAUCUUAGUGGCGAACGGGUGAGUAACGCGUAAUCAACCUGCCCUUCAGAGGGGGACAACAGUUGGAAACGACUGCUAAUACCGCAUACGAUCUAAUCUCGGCAUCGAGGAUAGAUGAAAGGUGGCCUCUACAUGUAAGCUAUCACUGAAGGCGGGGAUUGCGUCUGAUUAGCUAGUUGGAGGGGUAACGGCCCACCAAGGCGAUGAUCAGUAGCCGGUCUGAGAGGAUGAACGGCCACAUUGGGACUGAGACACGGCCCAGACUCCUACGGGAGGCAGCAGUGGGGAAACUUCCGCAAUGGACGAAAGUCUGACGGAGCAACGCCGCGUGAGUGAUGACGGCCUUCGGGUUGUAAAGCUCUGUUAAUCGGGACGAAAGGCCUUCUUGCGAAUAGUGAGAAGGAUUGACGGUACCGGAAUAGAAAGCCACGGCUAACUACGUG
rnacentral:rRNA from 1 species